GAUGAACGCUGGCGGCGUGCCUAAUACAUGCAAGUCGAACGAAACUUCUUUAUCACCGAGUGCUUGCACUCACCGAUAAAGAGUUGAGUGGCGAACGGGUGAGUAACACGUGGGCAACCUGCCCAAAAGAGGGGGAUAACACUCGGAAACAGGUGCUAAUACCGCAUAACCAUAGUUACCGCAUGGUAACUAUGUAAAAGGUGGCUAUACUACCGCUUUUGGAUGGGCCCGCGGCGCAUUAGCUAGUUGGUAGGGUAAAGGCUUACCAAGGCAAUGAUGCGUAGCCGAAUUGAGAGGUUGAUCGGCCACAUUGGGACUGAGACACGGCCCAAACUCCUACGGGAGGCAGCAGUAGGGAAUCUUCCACGAUGGGCGAAAGCCUGAUGGAGCAACGCCGCGUGGGUGAAGAAGGUCUUCGGAUCGUAAAACCCUGUUGUUAGAGAAGAAAGUGCGUGAGAGUAACUGUUCACGUUUCGACGGUAUCUAACCAGAAAGCCACUGCUAACUACGUG
rnacentral:rRNA from 1 species